rnacentral:rRNA from 1 species
UGGGGAAUUUUGCACAAUGGGGGAAACCCUGAUGCAGCGACGCCGCGUGAUUUAGAAGGCCUUCGGGUUGUAAAAAUCUUUUCUAUGGGAAGAAAAUGACAGUACCAUAGGAAUAAGGACCGGCUAAUUACGUGCAAGCAGCCGCGGUAAUACGUAAGGUCCGAGCGUUGUCCGGAAUCAUUGGGCGUAAAGGGUACGUAGGCGGGUAAGCAAGUUAGAAGUGAAAUCCUAUAGCUCAACUAUAGUAAGCUUUUAAAACUGCUCAUCUUGAGGUAUGGAAGGGAAAGUGGAAUUCCUAGUGUAGCGGUGAAAUGCGCAGAUAUUAGGAGGAAUACCGGUGGCGAAGGCGACUUUCUGGCCAUAACCUGACGCUGAGGUACGAAAGCGUGGGUAGCAAACAGG